GCCUGGGUGGCUCAGUUGGUUAAGCAUCUGACUUCGGCUCAGGUCAUGAUCUCACAGUCCGUGAGUUCGAGCCCCGCGUCGGGCU
rnacentral:tRNA from 1 species